rnacentral:rRNA from 1 species
GGCCCGCCAGAGGACCCCUAAACUCUGUUUCUAUAUGUAACUUCUGAGUAAAACCAUAAAUAAAUCAAAACUUUCAACAACGGAUCUCUUGGUUCUGGCAUCGAUGAAGAACGCAGCAAAAUGCGAUAAGUAAUGUGAAUUGCAGAAUUCAGUGAAUCAUCGAAUCUUUGAACGCACAUUGCGCCCGCCAGUAUUCUGGCGGGCAUGCCUGUUCGAGCGUCAUUUCAACCCUCAAGCACAGCUUGGUGUUGGGACUCGCGUUAAUUCGCGUUCCUCAAAUUGAUUGGCGGUCACGUCGAGCUUCCAUAGUGUAUUUUGUAAAACCCUCGUUACUGGUAAUCGUCGCGGCCACGCCGUUAAACCCCAACUUCUGAAUGUUGACCUCGGAUCAGGUAGGAAUACCCGCUGAACUUAAGCAUAUCAAUAAGCGGAGGA